rnacentral:lncRNA from 1 species
CCAAGGUUUAUAAAUAUUUUAUGGGCAGCUUGCACAACGAGUUUCUUUAGUGCAGUGGAUAUUAUAUAUCUUAUUUCUCCUCUGCGCCCGGGGUUCGAAUCUUCCUCCUACCAUUUUCUCUGUUCGUCUACAAUAAAGGCAAAUUGCCAAUUUUUUUUUUUGUUUAACUUUUGCCAAUAGCCAAAAGAUAAUCGUGAAGAUUGAUUUACCUUUUCUAACUGAUUAUAUUAAAUGAUUAAAAAAAUAAAUUACAAUAAUACCUAUUUUGUUUACCCUAACAAUUGACGUUCCAUCUUCUCUUCUUCAACCUUCUUUUUUAUUUUUCUCUGCCUAUCAACCAUAUUCCAUCUUCUCUGAAUCUAUGCAAGUUUUUUUUCUUUGUUCUUUUGUUUUCGUUAACUUUUGAUUGUGAUUUACUUGUUUUAUGUUCUAGCAUAUGUAAUCUAUUGGUGUCUAUUAUCUAAAUUAUGUUUUUCUUUUAAAUGUUUUUGAAUUGUAAUCUGUAAAGAAUGCUUCCAGGAAAUAGAAUAAGAAUUCAAUCAAGUGGAGCUAAAAAUAGGAACAAAAAAGCCAGACAAGAUGAAGUGAUCAACUCUCAAACCAAUGCUAUGCUUAAGUAUGUCACAAUAACUAAAAGUUCUAAACCUGAUGAAAUCUCUGAAGCUGAAGAGGAAAAAGAAGAUGAAGAGUUUGUUAUUGAAGAAGAUGUUCAUGAUAAGAGUGAAGAAGAAACUGCUAGAGAUGAUGCAGAUUGUAUGAAUGUGGACAAAGAACAAUCUGAGAAUGAAAACAUAGAAUCCCAAGAGAAAGUUGAUGAUAUUAGAAGCUUCCAUGAAGAUGUUGAUAUGGAUGAUCUUGGAAAUUGGAAGAACAUUGAACAGAGAAUGAGAGAUUAAUUGGUUGAGAGAGGUCCACCUACAAGACCUCUAGUUGAUUAUCUUUUUCCAAGAGAUCGUAUUGAAAGAUGUUUCACUUAAUGUUUUACAAGAAGGAUGAGCAAUGCAGAGAAACAAGACAGGAGAUGGUUAGUUUACUCAAAAUCUAAAGAUAAAAUCUUUUGUUUUGCUGUAAAUUAUUCACUCAUGAAACAUUUCCUCCUCUAUUGGUAACUACUGGAUAUGAUGAUUGGAGAAGUGCUUCACAUAGGCUGAAAAAACAUGAAACUACUUACAACCAUAUUGUUUGCAUGAGCCGCUGGAUUGAGCUGGAAAUGAGGCUGAAAAAGAGUGAAACUAUUGAUAAACAUUUGGAGGAGGCAAUUAACAAGGAGAAGAAACAUUGGAGAGAUGUUAUGUUGAGGAUAAUUGCAGUGGUAAAGACUCUAGCAGAAAGAAAUUUAGCCUUUCGUGGAGACGACAAAAAGGUCAGUGAUCCACACAGUGGAAACUUCUUGGCUUUUAUUAAGAUGAUUGGAGGCUUUGAUGAAGUAAUGAAGGAGCACAUUCGACGGAUUGACAAAGGUGAAACUCAGUACCAUUAUCUUAGUCAUAAGAUUCAGAAUGAGUUGAUAGAAUUACUUGCUAAUGAGAUUAGGAUGGUAAUCUUAAAAAAAAAUUCAAGAGGCAAAGUAUUUUUCAAUCAUUUGGGAUACUACUCCUGAUAUUAGUCACAAAGAGCAGAUGACUUUUUUAAUUCGAUGUGUAGAUGUUUCUACGGAUUCACCUAAGGUUGUGGAGUUCUUUUUGUCAUUCUUGGAAAUCAAAGACACAACAGGAGAAGGAAUUUUUACCACUCUUCAAAAUGCAUUGGCUGAUCUUAAGUUAAAUAUUGGUGAAGUAAGAGGACAAGGUUACGACGAAGGGUCUAAUAUGAAAGGAAAGCAUAAGGGUGUUCAGAAAAGACUGCUGGAUAUUAAUCCAAGGGCAUUUUACACUCCAUGUGGGUGUCACAGUCUCAAUCUUGCUCUUUGUGACAUGGCUUCUUCAACUGAGAAAGCAGUUUCAUUUUUGGCACUGUGCAACAUUUAUACAAUCUGUUUUCAUCAACCAACAACUGGUAAGUUUACAGAGAGAUGGUCAAAGGUACUACACUUAAACAGUCGUAUUGCUAGUGUAAAACCAAUAAGGUUUCAAGCUGUAAAGAUACGAGAGGCUUUGUUUUACUUAGCAGAGAACAUUGGUAAUCAUGGACAUCGUAGUGAAGCUGAGUGUCUUGCAGAAAGUGAAACACAUGGAAUUGGAAGAUUUGAGUUCUUUUUUGGCAUGGUAAUUUGGUAUGAUUUGCUUUAUGUUGUCAAUACAGUGAGCAAAUCAUUACAAUCAGAGGAUAUGGAUCUUGAGGCUGCUAUUAUCCAGUUAGGAGGGCUUGUUGGUUACUUGAAAGGCUACAGAGAAACUGGUUUUGAGAAAGCAAAAGCUGAAGCUAUGCAAAUUGCCAUUGACAUGGAGAUCGAACCAACAUUUUCUUCAAAGCCAAAGCGGUUAAUAAAAAAGAAAAAGCAUUUUGGUGAAGAUGCUGAAAAAGUUGAAGAUAGUUACCAGCUAAACACGGAAGAGAGUUUUAGGAUUGAUUAUUUUAUCAACAUUUUGGAUCAAGCUAUAGUGUCACUUGGGGUUAGAUUUGAGCAGUUUCAGCGGUACGAAGAAAUCUUUGGGUUUUUGUUUGGUUUGAAAAGGCUAAAGUCAGUAAAAGAUGAUAAAUAUUUUUACAACUUGCAUUUAAGCAUUGACGAUAUAUAAAUGUUUUGAUCAAUAUCAACAAACAUUGUAUUUCCUUUGGCAAAUGAUUUAUAUGUGGCAGACUUCUCCCAAACUUAAUGAAAACUGGAAGUCAAUUGGUGACAACUCAUUCUCGAGGAGACUGAUAGAACCGUAUUAUAUAAACUACGGAGAACUGAAUAUUGUAAAGAAUAAAAUUGAUAAGAUUAUACCAACGAUUGAGAAAAAGAAUGAUACAACUGCAAAGUCGGAAUAUUAUCUCUUUCAUUAACUCAAAAUACGUCACUUAGUUCGACGGUUCGAUAAUGUAAUGAGUCCUAAAAUACAACUGCAAACAAUCUUUUGAUUUGCGUCACUCUAUCAGAAACCUACCGAAACUAGUUUUGUGUAUACGCCCAGACUCGAAAAAAGAAAAGAAGAGAAGACGCAAAAAUAAAGAAUCAAAUAUUCUAAGUGGAUUAAUUCUUUUUACUAUACUUGUUCGUAUGAACCUCUACUUGAGAAUAUAACUUUAGCUCACUUUUAUAAUCAGCACAAGACUUCCAUAAUUAGUCAUAACUGGAGGAGUUACCCAUGUCAAAAUGCCAUAAAUAAAAUUCAUUCCUUAGACCUGUUUUGUAACGUCAGCUUUAAAGAAAAUAUAUUGCAUAUUUGACUAUUUGCAUAUUUGACUAAAUCAAACACCAAUAACAUUUUCUUUAAUGGGUUACAUUUUAUAUGACAACAAACAUAUAAAGUUAAUCAUGAAUAAGAUUUAAGUAUAAGUCAUUAAACAUAAUGUUUAACUAACUAUAUAAAUCUAAAUUUAAACCCAAAUAUUCAAAGUGACUAUGAAAUCUUUAUAAGACAGGUAGUAUUGUCGGUUGUCGGUUGUCGAUUGUCUAUGUAAUCUUUGUCAUAAUAAAUCAACGUUAAAAAAAUAUUCAAAGUGACUCAUUUGCUAAUUUCUAUAUUUAGCCAAACUAAAAGCUUUGCAAGCUUUGUAUAUCAUUCACUUUGGACAUUCAUUUCUCAUUCAACACAAAUCCGAUUUUGACCAACAAAUAUACUAACUCAUAGUGUUCACGUGACGAUUCCAUCGUGCCCAAAUUCCGGUCUUUUCGACAGACGUCUCCGUCGAAAAACUCAUCGGAAAAAUGGCCCACACCACUUUUUCAAAAACGAGUUCCAACAAUUAGUAAUAGGAUUAGGAGUUAUCUAGUCUCAUAUAUAUUGAAGCAUAUGUUGUUGAAUCACUAAUGAAUUGUGUGAGUGAUUAAGAUUUAGUUUUUUCAGUUAUUUUUCUAAAGCAAUACGAAAGUGAUUUGAGAAUUCGAUUCCUUGAUUUCUAUAUCACAUUGUACGUACAUGAUAAUGGCUAAUCAAGUAGAAAAACACUUGAACAAAUGCACUAAUGCAAGAAGACGUGGUGAAUGGAAUAAUGUUUUGAGCGAAGCAAGUGUUGCAGUAUGCUCUCAGGAGCUUCUAAGUCUACUAAGGUAAUUAACGAACAACCAUUUUUGUAUUAAUUUCUCUUUACCUUAUGAAGAAUCAAAAUCAAACACGGCUAAGUAUUUAUGACGAUGGUAUAAGUAUUUUACUUAUCUCGCAACCGCAGCUAGCAAUGUGUACAGUUGAAGCACUAGUAAAACUCAACCGGCUUGAUAAGCUUCAAACAGAACCACUGAUUCGAGUCUCCGAUAUGUUCUCUAAAGCCUACAGUUUUUUUUUUUCAAAUCACAAAUAAAUUUCGCUCUAGAAAUGUGAGAUUUAUUAUUUAGACUUCUUGAUAUAUUGGUUAUAUAUACAUGUUCAUUGUUAUGUUGGUUGCAGGCCCGGCCCUUGGCUAAAGCCCAUAAAGCAAGGGCUUGGGGUGCCAAGGUUUAUAAAUAUUUUAGGAGCAGUUUGUACAGCGAGUUUCUUUAGUGCAGUGGCUAUUAUAUAUCUUAUUUUUCCUCUGCGCCCAGUGUUCGAAUCUACCUCCUACCAUUUUCUCUGUUCGUCUAUAAUAAAGGCAAAUUGCCAAAAAAAAUUUUGUUUAACUUUUGCCAAUAGCCAAAAGAUGAUCGUGAAGAUUGAUUUACAAUAAUACCUAUUUUGUUUACCCUAACAAUUGACGUUCCAUCUUCUCUUCUUCAACCUUCUUUUUUAUUUUUCUCUGCCUAUCAACCAUAUUCCAUCUUCUCUGAAUCUAUGCAAGUUUUUUUUCUUUGUUCUUUUGUUUUCGUUAACUUUUGAUUGUGAUUUACU